rnacentral:rRNA from 1 species
UACGGAGGGUGCAAGCGUUAUCCGGAUUCACUGGGUUUAAAGGGUGCGUAGGUGGGUUUGUAAGUCAGUGGUGAAAUCUCCGAGCUUAACUUGGAAACUGCCAUUGAUACUAUAGAUCUUGAAUUUUCUGGAGGUAAGCGGAAUAUGUCAUGUAGCGGUGAAAUGCUUAGAUAUGACAUAGAACACCAAUUGCGAAAGGCAGCUUGCUACAGGAACAUUGACACUGAGGCACGAAAGCGUGGGGAUCAAACAGG